UCAAUCAAAGUUCUCUCUUCUUUCUCUUUCCCAAACACAGCCGCUCCUUCUCCUCCAACCUCCUUUCAUUUCUCUUCUUUGUACAAGGAAGCAACAACGCCUCUUUCCCCUUCAAUUUCACGAUUAUGGAAAAUACAAUGGAAGAACAGAAAGUUUUCCCGUCUUCCCCUCUAUCGCUCUCGAUGAACAACAAUCAAGACCUCUCUCCCGAUUUCUCUCUCGAUUUCUAUUCCUCUCUCGAUCGAUUCCUCUCCGCGUAGACAACAACAAAACCCUCUUUCUUGUUUUCUAUCUCUCUCGCGAUCGGCCCUCUCUUUCGUGAGCUUUCUAUCUCUCGCGUUUUGCUUGCGGCCAUGGAAGGAGCUUUGAAAGCUCAUGUCAACAAGAACAAAUUUUCACUUGCAAACAGGGAUGGAUAUCCGGACAAUACACAAGGACAAAAUAUUUGCAGCAACUAUUAACAGUAAUAUUGAGAGUACUCUCAAGAAAACUUUCUGUUGCUUCCUUGUACUCUCAAGGAGAAAGAUCAGGCAGAGUCAGAACAACCGAAAUCACAUUCUGCUUUCUCUUUUCCCGAAAUCGCAAGGCGUCUUCUCGCCGAUCGUCUUCUAGCAGAAGCAGAAGCAUCAGAAGAGGCUAAUCUGAAAUCCCCUUUCUGCUCCAGCAAGCACAAGGUUCCUUUAUUAUCUCUUGAAGCUUUGCAUCAUCUACACAUCUUCAUUUUAUUUAAGUUUUUGAAGAGGGCUUGUUGUUUUGAUCAAUAUCAAAAUGGCAUGGAAGGGCAAUGUAAGAAACUUCUGAAUUAUCCAGGAAUUCAAUGAUGUAAACAGCAAUUUCAGAAUCUUUCUUCUUUCUACAAGGGCUGGUGGAUUGGGAAUAAACCUUACUGCAGCUGACACUUGCAUUCUUUAUGACAGUGACUGGGCCAUGGAUAGAUGUCAUAGAAUUGGUCAAACAAAGCUUGUUCAUGUUUACAGGCUUGCAACUGCACAAUCAGUAGAGGGUUGAAUGUUGAAAAUAGCUUUCAACAAGUUGAAGCUUGAGCACGUGGUGAUAGAGAAAGUACAAUUUCAUCAAGAACGCACAACGACUUCCAUUAUGGAUGAAUUGGAGUGACAAAGCCUACUUUGUUGAUCUAUUUGUGAGAGCAUCAAAUGCACCAGCCAUCAAGAUGUAUGAAAAGUUUUGUGCUUGACAACUGUCAAGAAUGAAGACAAAAUGGAAUUCAGCAGAAUCCUAGAAGCCAUUAAGGCUAACUUCAACGACAAGUAUGAGGAAUACAGGAAGAAGUGGGGUGGCGGUAUCAUGGGUUCCAAAUCUCAAGCAAAAACUAAGGCCAAGGAAAGACUCAUUGCCAAGGAAGCUGCUCAAAGAAUGACCUAGAAG